GAAAAAGAUGGAAAGUUAAGAGAAGGAACAUUCAUAACAUCUAUGUUUCAAUGAAAUCUUUUGUAAGGAAAUCUAUAAGGAGUUGUAAGAAAACACAAAAGUACCUUUCAAACUCAGACAUGCAAAAUCAAUUUACUUUCUAUUUUAAACUCUAUAUGACAUUGUCUUAGCUCUUUCAACUGCACAACAAUAUCACCAGUUAGAGUAACUUGCUGCAAAAUAUUAAUACAACAAAACAAUCUAUAAACCCUACAUUUUCAAACAGAAAAUAAAAUGUCAACGUACAGUUAUUUAGAAGAUAACUUUCUUGUUUGGCAUCAGUAUGCAUUUUCUGAGAUACUGUGAUAUAUGCAUACCAUACAAACACACAAUAUCAUAUACACAUAACCAU
rnacentral:lncRNA from 1 species